GACUUCCGCUUCACCUCGCUAUCUUGCCCUAGAAAGGGAACUCGGAGGGGACUCACUGACGAAAGGAGCUCCAGAUGGCGGGGGGCCAACCUGGGGCGACCCCCAGCGCCCACUUUCACCAUCUGGACCCCAGCAAACCUCCCUGUGGCCCUUGGUCCCGUCUUCAGCAGCUCCUUCUGGGGUCCCACACCUUCGGAGCCCGGCCCUGCCCCUGAGUCUCUGGAGAGAGCGAGUCAGCAGUUCGCCGCCGCGGGGCUCCCGUUUGCCUAGCACGCCAGUUUCUGUCCAGUUUCACCCCAAAUCCCCACCUCCCCCCACCCCCGAACCUCACGGCCACCCUGGGAAGGAGGCUUGACUUGUGACAUCCACCCCUCUUCACGGCUGAGGAACUUUGGCCCCGAGCGAGGAAGCGACCGGCCCACGGCCACACGCCCGGAGGGGCAGCAUCUUCUACUAUGUGCAUCUACAUUGGAUGGCAGUGGAGCAACACAGAUUGUUUUCUGACAAAAAUCAGCCAAGUACUAGGAGAGGCAGGACUUUAGAAGUGGAGGAGAUGGAGAAGGAAGCUUAGGUUACUAUGGAGUGUGCAAAAAGGUCCUGUGGAUUUAGAUACCACCACACACAAAUGCUGUUGUUGGAAGGUACCUGCCCAGAUAAGGACUGCAUUUCCUCUAGCAUCCAGAUGGGACCAAAUGACUGCUGGCCAAUAGAAGUGAGUGGAAAGGACUGACUCCAGUUCCAGGUUGGGCCUCCAACUGCUCUGGGCACGUCGAUGGAACAGAACACCACCUCCACCCCAAUACCACCAAUUCAACUUUACAUGAAUUAUAAGCGAGAAAUAACUUGGACUGUGUUAAGUCAUUGAGUUUCUGGGGUUUAACUGUUAUUAUAGUUAAGAAUGACUUUAACUAAUAUAGUCAAUGACAUCUAAAAAAAAAAA
rnacentral:lncRNA from 1 species